AGAGUUUGAUCCUGGCUCAGGAUGAACGCUAGCUACAGGCUUAACACAUGCNAGUCGAGGGGCAGCAGGAGCUUAGCUUGCUAAGUUUGCUGGCGACCGGCGCACGGGUGAGUNACGCGUAUCCAACCUUCCCCCUAGUAGAGGAUAGCCCGGUGAAAAUCGGAUUAAUACUCUAUGUUGUUCAAUGCAGGCAUCUAAGUUGAACCAAAGAUUUAUCGCUAAGGGAUGGGGAUGCGUCUGAUUAGGUAGUCGGCGGGGUAACGGCCCACCGAGCCAACGAUCAGUAGGGGUUCUGAGAGGAAGGUCCCCCACAUUGGAACUGAGACACGGUCCAAACUCCUACCGCCGGCAGCAGUGAGGAAUAUUGGUCAAUGGGCGAGAGCCUGAACCAGCCAAGUAGCGUGCAGGAUGACGGCCCUAUGGGUUGUAAACUGCUUUUAUGCGGGGAUAAAGUGGCGGACGUGUCCCUUAUUGUAGGUACCGCAUGAAUAAGGACCGGCUAAUUCCGUGCCAGCAGCCGCGGUAAUACGGAAGGUCCGGGCGUUAUCCGGAUUUAUUGGGUUUAAAGGGAGCGCAGGCGGAAGAUUAAGCGUGACGUGAAAUGUCCCGGCUCAACCGUGGAACUGCGUCGCGAACUGCCGAUCUUGAGUGAGUUCGAUGUAGGCGGAAUUCGUGGUGUAGCGGUGAAAUGCUUAGAUAUCACGAAGAACCCCGAUUGCGAAGGCAGCCUACAAGGCCUUUACUGACGCUAAAGCUCGAAGGUGCGGGUAUCGAACAGGAUUAGAUACCCUGGUAGUCCGCACGGUAAACGAUGGAUGCCCGCUGUUGGCGAUACACUGUCAGCGGCCAAGCGAAAGCGUUAAGCAUCCCACCUGGGGAGUACGCCGGCAACGGNNAAACUCAAAGGAAUUGACGGGGGCCCGCACAAGCGGAGGAACAUGUGGUUUAAUUCGAUGAUACGCGAGGAACCUUACCCGGGCUUGAACUGCAGCAGACGGAUCUAGAGAUAGUGACNCNUCGGGGCUGCUGUGGAGGUGCUGCAUGGUUGUCGUCAGCUCGUGCC
rnacentral:rRNA from 1 species